UCCUUAACUCUUCUCCCCACUGCAUGGUAACUCUUUGAGACCCUGUUGUGCUCUCUCAGGAUGACUCAUGCAGGCAUCUCCACUGCCCCUGCCUUUGGGAACCCUCUCCUUUACAGGUCUGGUUUUGAGGGGCUCAUACCAGACAAAGCUGUGGUGUUGCCUUUGGAGCAACAGCUAACGCAGAGAAUAUGUUUCUGCAGGACAACAGCUCUGCAAAGUAAUUGUGUUCUUACAGUAGGCAAAAAACUUGCAGGAGAAUUUGGAUACAAAAUACAAAAUAUAACCCUGAGAAAGAAUCACCCUAUAUCUCUAUUUUUAACAGCCACAGAGUAUCUAUGAGACCAUAUUCCUUGAAGAUCCUUACAUUUAUGGUGUGGCUGAAAUAUCUGAGCCUUCAGGCUUUUGUUGGCCUCUGCACAACUACCAUCCUCAGAACUGCAGAGAUGAUCCAGCUUAAUUACACGAACAUACUCUGCAGAGCGUGGUUUUUCCCCCUGCAAGUUUAGCCUCAUCAUAGGUCUAAAUCUGCAGAUAGAGCGGGAAUUCAUGGAGAUUACUUGGACCUGUGUGAGAUCCUGCACAACUACAUUAAUCCCCUAAUUGAAAGUCAUAGCCAGGUGAAAAAGAUGAAACAGAAGACAUAAAGGGCUGCUCUGUGAGAAGCUGGCUUUGCACUCCAAGAAGGAAAAACUAGGAUGGACUCCUUCCCUGUGGACGGAACCUUCAGAUACCUCCAAGCCCCUGGCUGAGAAGCUGAACAAUGAUAGUGGUGAAUCCAUGAAGCCAUCUGUGACAGGCAGUUAGCCUGGAAAGACACUGUAAGUUCACCUAUGAUCUGUACCAGAUAAACCUUCUGUUAAAUGGAGAAAGUCAAGGCUGCUGCUUGUCUUCCUUCAUUACCUUCUCAGGACAUUCAACUUGUGAUGACUGCAAGAAGAAUAACAGACUUCUGACAUGACUACUGGCCUCAGAGCAGUGGAAUGGCAUGAUACGGCUACCAGUCCCAUGGCUUUCACUGGCUUUCCCCCUUUUCACCUCCUCAAUUUCUAUUUAAAAGAUGCGCAGGAUUUUUUAAACAAAUGCCUAAAUUAACUCACACAAAUCAGCUUGCCCAGUUGAACACCACAGUGAAAUACUUUAUUUUACAUAUCCGUCACAUUUAAAGGCUAUUUGAAGACCUGGGAAGCACACAGACUGAGUAGUCAGGACACACAUUUUUUGUCAUUUUCUUUACUGUUUACCAGCUAACCCAGGCUGAUGGAGACUGACACUCCUUGGUGCUUUGUGACAGUUUAUGCAGCAGCAGCAGAUCUCAAGUGAGUAUCAUUAUCAAAAGAGUCAAUCAAUAUUGGCAAUAAGUGGCUGCUUUACUGCAAAUCCUCCAAGCAGAGACUAAAACUAGGGGAAUGAAUUGAACUACUUAUCCCUUAUCUCUUAAAUACAUAGCAUGGCUUGAAGGCUGGGCCAUGAUGGCAGCCUGGAGUUGGACGGUUGAUAGCAGUAGCUGCAUUCCAGAAGUUCAUCCUUCCUGGCUGGGCUGUGUGUGGGGCUCAGUGGCCUUACCCACAGCGGGGCAGGACUGAAACUGGGAGCAGCACAGCAUGCCCAGCUCCGUUGACACAACAGCAGUGAGCAGGGACAGCUUCAUCAAAAGAGACAGUAACAUUUGUAAGGAAGAAGGGAAAAAAUAAUACAAUUUAUUGUACCUGGACAGUAAAAGUGCAGAUGGCAGCGGCAUUUAAGGGAAGACAUGCUUUCAAAACAUAGUCAUUUGUAGAUGUAGACAGGUCUGUCAAAGCAGCGAAACCUUGAAACUACUUCGGUACUACUUGUGAUUAAACUGCUAUGCCAGGCAAAAGCUAGAGUGAAAAAGAUGCUUUUUUUUAGAAAGGGACUGAUAAUGACCUUGGACUGGCAUAUGACCCUGGACAGUUUAUUAAGUAAGAAUCAAGUAAAAAGGUGUCUGGACAAAGGAAACUCCUAAAGCUUGUGACUAUUGGAAUUAGCAGAGUAAGACCUCAGGCAAAGACAGCAGAGGACAAUUAGUUCAGAUUUAAUAGGUAGUGUUUGCAGAUGUACAAUAUAUCUCGAAAAACACCCUAUUACUUGUUCUGGUUUCUGAAAAAUUUAGAAGUCAGUAAUAAAAUACAAAUUGUUAUAAGACAGAUAACAUUAAAAUGAAAAGGUUUAAGUCAGAGAAGCUGUGAGGUCAGCUUAUAAGCACACAGAUGCUCUCAUUUUCUUUCACACAUGUUGUUUGCACUGUUGGUUUUUAUGGCAUUGGUUCCCAAGAGGAUUGAAGAAACAAAUGUUUGAGUGAAAGAAUAUAGGGUUUUUAAAACAUUCCUUGAAGUAAUAAACAAAUAAGUGAUGCUGUGAGCAGCAUGACUUUAUCCUGUCAUACCAUUGUGAAAGAUAUUUGUCUAAAAAAACCUGUAAAUGAUCUAACGAUUAUGACAACAUGAAUCACAAAACAAUUUGCAAAUCUACCACAUUUUUCUACCAUAAAUUGAUUUAAGUAUAUUUUGACCAUACAUAUUUAUAACAACACAUUAGAAGUUCCAAUGUAGUACUAUAAUAUUACAGUACAAUAUCACAAUAUGGCAUCUCGUAUAAGAUUGUGCUCACCAGGGUUUGAAUUCAGGGUGAAAUGAGAAGGUGGGGAGGGAAGAAGGGAAAUUCCUGCAUGUGUUAUAAAGUGUACAGGCAAGUUAUUUUGAGGAACUGCCUCAAAUAUCUUUGACACACAGCAAAAAAAUCCCACCAAAAUCCAAAAAAAGCUAUUUUGCAGUUUGA